rnacentral:rRNA from 1 species
UUGAACGCUGGCGGCAUGCCUUACACAUGCAAAUCGAACGGUAACGGGCCUUCGGGUGCCGACGAGUGGCGAACGGGUGAGUAAUACAUCGGAACGUGCCCGAUCGUGGGGGAUAACGAGGCGAAAGCUUUGCUAAUACCGCAUACGAUCUACGGAUGAAAGCAGGGGACCGCAAGGCCUUGCGCGGACGGAGCGGCCGAUGGCAGAUUAGGUAGUUGGUGGGAUAAAAGCUUACCAAGCCGACGAUCUGUAGCUGGUCUGAGAGGAUGAUCAGCCACACUGGGACUGAGACACGGCCCAGACUCCUACGGGAGGCAGCAGUGGGGAAUUUUGGACAAUGGGCGCAAGCCUGAUCCAGCCAUGCCGCGUGCAGGAUGAAGGCCUUCGGGUUGUAAACUGAUUUUGUACGGAACGAAAAGCCUUCUUUUAAUACAGGAGGGUCAUGACGGUACCGUAAGAAUAAGCACCGGCUAACUACGUG